CCCAAAAUUUAGUGUGGGAUAGCUCGCCGAAAGGCGGAUUAAUACCGCACGUGGUUGGCUCUCGCAUGAUUGCCAUACUAAAUGCGGGGACCGCCAGGCCUGGCGCUGAAUGAGGAGUUCGCGGCCUAUCAGCUAGUUGGCGAGGUAACGGCUCACCAAGGCUAACACGGGUAGCUGAUCUGAGAGGAUGAUCAGCCACACUGGAACUGAGACACGGUCCAAACACCUACGGGUGGCAGCAAUUUCGAAUCGUUCACAAUGGGCGAAAGCCUGAUGGUGCGACGCCGCGUGAGGGAUGAAGGUCUUCGGAUUGUAAACCUCUGUCACUAAGGAAAAAACGCUUUGAGUUAACAGUUCAAAGCCUGAUUUAACAUGGAGAGGAAGCAGUGGCUAACUCUGUGCCAGCAGCCGCGGUAAUACAGAGACUGCGAGCGUUAUUCGGAUUCACUGGGCGUAAAGGGUGCGCAGGCGGCCGUGUGUGUAAGGUGUGAAAUCCCGGGGCUCAACCCCGGAACUGCGCCUUAAACUACAUGGCUAGAGUAUUGGAGAGGGUAGUGGAAUUCACGGUGUAGCAGUGAAAUGCGUAGAUAUCGUGAGGAACACCAGAGGCGAAGGCGACUACCUGGACAAUUACUGCACGCUCAGGCACGAAAGCGUGGGGAGCAAAUGGGAUUAGAUACCCCCAGUAGUCA
rnacentral:rRNA from 1 species